rnacentral:rRNA from 1 species
CCCUACGGGGUGUCAAGCUCUUUCGGCAGGAACGAUAAUGACGGUCCCUGCAGAAGACGCUGCGGCUAACUACGUGCCAGCAGCCGCGGUAAUCCGUAGGCAGCAAGCGUUGUUCGGAGUUACUGGGCGUAAAGAGUGCGUAGGUGGUUCUCUAAGUUCGGUGUGAAAUCUCCCGGCCCAACUGGGAGGGUGCGCCGAAAACUGGAGAGCUUGAGUAUGGGAGAGGAGAGCGGAAUUCCUGGUGUAGCGGUGAAAUGCGUAGAUAUCAGGAGGAACACCUGUGGUGCAGACGGCUCUCUGGACCAUUACUGACACUGAGGCACGAAAGCGUGGGGAGCAAACA